UACGAACCGUCCAAACGUUAUUCGGAAUCACUGGGCUUAAAGGGUGCGUAGGCGGCUCGGCAAGUUGGGUGUGAAAUCCCUCGGCUCAACCGAGGAAUUGCGCCCAAAACUUCCGUGCUCGAGGAAGAUAGAGGUGAGCGGAACUUAGGGUGGAGCGGUGAAAUGCGUUGAUAUCCUAAGGAACACCGGUGGCGAAAGCGGCUCACUGGACCUUUUCUGACGCUGAGGCACGAAAGCUAGGGUAGCGAACGGG
rnacentral:rRNA from 1 species